GGGAUGGGUGGUGUAGUGGUAGCAUGUGCCGCCGUUAUGGGUGAAACGCGGGUUCGAAUCCCGACACAUGUCG